rnacentral:rRNA from 1 species
UACGUAGGGGGCAAGCGUUAUCCGGAAUUAUUGGGCGUAAAGGGUACGUAGGUGGUUUGUAAAGCGCGAGGUUUAAGGCUAUGGCUCAACCAUAGUACGCCUGGCGAACUGGCAAACUUGAGUACAGGAGAGGAAAGCGGAAUUCCUAGUGUAGCGGUGAAAUGCGUAGAUAUUAGGAGGAACACCAGCGGCGAAGGCGGCUUUCUGGACUGUAACUGACACUGAGGUACGAAAGCGUGGGUAGCAAACA